UUCGCCUUCAUGAAGCCGGAAUUGCUAGUAAUGGCAGGUCAGCAUACUGCCGUGAAUACGUUCCCGGGCCUUGUACACACCGCCCGUCACACCAUGAGAGUUGGGAAUACCCGAAGCCUGUGAGCUAACUAUAUGAGGCAGCAGUCGAAGGUAGAAUCAAUGAUUGGGGUGAAGUCGUAACAAGGUAUC
rnacentral:rRNA from 1 species